UACGGAGGGUGCGAGCGUUGUCCGGAAUCACUGGGCGUAAAGGGCGCGUAGGUGGCUCACGCAAGCGUGCGGUGAAAGCCCGGGGCUCAACCCCGGGUCGGCCGUGCGGACUGCGGGGCUCGAGCACUGUAGGGGCAGAUGGAAUUCCGGGUGUAGCGGUGGAAUGCGUAGAGAUGUGGAGGAACACCAGUGGCGAAGGCGACUCUUUGGUCUGUAACUGACGCUGAGGCGCGAAAGCGUGGGGAGCAAACAGG
rnacentral:rRNA from 1 species